CUACGGGGGGCAGCAGCAGGGAAUCUUGCGCAAUGGGCGAAAGCCUGACGCAGCGACGCCGCGUGGGGGAAGACGGCCUGCGGGUUGUAAACCCCUUUUCCAGAGGAAGAAGAUCUGACGGUACUCUGGGAAUAAGCCUCGGCUAACUACGUGCCAGCAGCCGCGGUAAAGCGUAGGAGGCUAGCGUUGUCCGGAUUCACUGGGCGUAAAGGGAGCGCAGGUGGCUAAGUUCGUCGGUAGUGCAAGCUCCAGGCUUAACCUGGAGAGGUCUACCGAUACUGCUUGGCUUGAGGGCGGUAGAGGAGCACGGAAUUCCUGGUGUAGUGGAGAAAUGCGUAGAUAUCAGGAGGAACACCGGUGGCGAAAGCGGUGCUCUGGGCCGUUCCUGACACUCAGGCUCGAAAGCGUGGGGAGCGAACCGGAUUAGAUACCCCGGUAGUC
rnacentral:rRNA from 1 species